GACUCACUGGAGACAUCCUGACACAUAAUGCUUCGCCCAGCACAAUGCGAUGCCCUUUACCUAGUAAAAGGGUGAGUCCCGUAAAGGUGCUGCCUUCCCCCCAGAACAAACAAGGGAAAUGCAUCAGGAGAGCUCAGCUGCAGACAGAAUGCACAUCAUGAAGCAGGAGCCACCCUGGGAUUCCUCAGAUGAAAGCCAAUUUCAAUGAACAUUGUGUUUCAAAGCCCGCUUCCUCUUGCUCGGUAAGAGCUGCAGAAGGAACAUCCCACUUGCGUCUGCUGACACAAAAGAAUGCUGUGGCUGGGAGAUCUUAUCGAGCCUUCCUGUGCCACAGCAACAGAGCUCCAGUUGUGUCUUGUAAGAAUUGGUCAUUGUUUCAUGGGGACGACUGGCUCCUUUGGGUGGGAUCUGAUGGCAUCUCAUGGAGUUGAGGUUGUCUGCCAACGCUAACUGGGCAGCUCUGACAGGAGGUGCGUGGCCCAGGAGGAGCCAUCAGGCCAGUUCUUUGGGAUACUGCUGUGUCUCCAGCUCUGCAGUUUGCUCUGCAUCACUCAGCGGCAGACGGAGAGGCAGACACGAGCCCCUUGUGAGCCCUCCUCCUUACCGUCAUAUCACAAUGUUCUGAAAUAAGGAGACAAAUGGCUGAGGUCCCCUCAGUUGUAGAUGUGAUUGAGUUCUAUCUACCAGAAGCAUAUGCCUCCUGGAAGCCUGGUUCUAACACCUCCCACAAAAUCCUUCAGGCACUUUUUUCUGUUCCAAGGUUUGCUUAUGGGGGACCCAGUGAAGUGCUUCAGAGCCCUAGAGAUUUGCUGAGUCAUAUGAGGGGUCAGCAAACUUUUCCUGUGAAGGGUCAGAUAAUAAACAUUUUAAGCUUUGUAGACUGUAUAAAGUCUCUGUUUCUUCUCCCCCUCCUCCUCCUCUUUCUCCUUCAGCUUCUUUCCUUUAAAUAUGUACAAAACCUUUCUUCUUUUCCAAAAUCUGUCUGUAUUUGACCUGUGAGCUGUAGUGUGCUGAGUCCUGCAUUAGUAGGAAAGAUCUUGAGUUUCAGAAUGACGAUGUAAAGCAGAGACCCUCCUCCCCACACCCAUUCUCUGCAACCGACACUUGGAUUACUUUUCUUUUACUCUUUGUCUUUCUCUGAACUGUAGAUGUAUGGUUGGCUUUCUGAGGUCAAAUAUAAUUAAGAGGUAGCCAACCAUUUGGCAAAUUUGAACCAAGCAGAGUUCUGAUAUAAAGAAUGUAGGACCCAUUCACUCCCAAUUAGUCUCUUCACUGAAAGGUGGCUUACACCAGGUAUAUCUCAUUUGCUAAUUUGUUUAGUCCAUGUCUAGGAAACCAUUGUGAUCAAGCCAAUAUGCCCAGGCCAGAGCAGCCUACUUUAGAAUCAAAGCUUUAGGCUAGGCGUGGUGGCUCACACCUGUAAUUCCAGCACUUUGGGAGGCCGAGGCGGACAGAUCACUUGAGGUCAGGAGUUCGAGACCAGCCUGGCCAACAUGGUGAAACCCCGUCUCCAUUAAAAAUACAAAAAUUAGCCGGGCAUGGUGGCGGGCCCCUGUAAUCCCAGCUACAGCUACUUGGGAGGCUGAGGCAGGAGAAUCACUUGAACCCAGGAGGAGGAGGUUGUAGUGAGCUGAGAUCGCAUCACUGCACUCUAGCCUUGACAACAGAGUAAGACUCCACUUCAAAAAAAAAAAAAAAAAAAAAAGAAUCAAAGCUUUAAAAUCCAGCAGAAGUAAAAUUUCCAAGUGGGAGGGAAGAGGAUCAAGAGGAGAAUCUGCAAGAGUAAAAGAGGAAGAUGUGUGCUGCAUGGCACAAAAUGAAUCUGCAAAGCAUCUGGGAACUGCAGACCCUACUGAUGCCUGGAACUCACUGGAGUCAGCAUGUCCAGGCAGUCAUUGUAGCAAGUCAGAGUGGUGUGAUGAAAUGCUUCAGGAGAAAAACAUUUCACCACAGCCUGGUUCACUCAGAUACCUUGCCAGGGAACCAACAUCUCACUCGGGCUUCUGAUAUUGUAACUGUGGGCCUUUAAGAAACAACAGAAAACCCAACUGAAUAAAAACUGACCUCCUUUGUGGCUCCUCUGAUGGAAGGGGCUCAGGAGCAACAGCCUUCAUGGUGCCCACCCUCUGGGCCAGAACAACGGAUGCCCCACAUCUGAGUUUAGUGCCUCCAAGAACCACAGCUUUUUUUUGCAGCAGUAAGAGCAUACCUCUGAGGCACUGUGAAGAAUCUGAUAGUCGAACUGAAGCCAAGUCCAGUCUUUACGGAAAAAUUUACACAACACUUCCAGCAGUGACCUGAGAAGCUACAUAUUGACAUGGCGCUACCACGGGUGGAGGAGCGUGCAUUGCUGAAUCACAGGAUGAAGGCGAAUCCCUGCCAGCCUCCAUCCAUCUCUCGGGUGCUUAGCAGAAUCCUCAGCUCACAGGAUGAAUAAAUGCAGACUAAAUGAUGCACAAAUAAUCUUCACACACAACCAUCAACGCACGGAAAGACAGCAGGAUGGCCAGAUCCCAAGCUAACAAACAGAAAAAGAAAAAAAAUGGCAUUAUGAUACAAACAGAAAAUGUAACAGUGGAGUGCAGAAAAUACAAAAAAAAGGGAAAAAAUAAAUAGAAAAUCUUCAAAGAGGCAAUCUGUUUAAAUCUUCAAGAACUGGAAACAGUAAAAGUGAACAGGUUUUUAUUGAGCAUGUCAAUAAAAUGUUUGAAUAAGACUUUACAAGUGCUUUAUUUCAUGAGGUUUUUAGUAUUGAUCAAAGCAACGAAAAUGAACAGGAAAGUCAUUCUCAUCAAAUCUACAACUUGGGAGGAGGUCCGAUGAAAUCCCUGGAAGCUCACAUUUUUUAUAAAUGAAGAGUUAAUUACCGGUGGGAACAAUGAGAACCUCUGUGGUUCUUCCUGAUGCUUGGAUCCUCCCAGACCUCUGUUUCCAGUCUCCUUCUCCACAACCUGGCCUAUGCGAUGCAAGUGGUCUAACUGAUCUCUGCCUAGGGAAGGAUCCUUCAGCAACUUGCCGACAAGAGAAGCAGCGAUGCCCAAGGCAGGUCCAAAGGAGCACUGACUGCGUGGGAUUGAUUACACUGGAGGAACAAAAGGUCCUGUGGCUACACAAGUUUGAAAAGCAGAAGGUACAAUCAUUGUAUUUCUGGCAGACUUUUCAAAGACUUUAAUAUAUGAAUCCCUCAUAUGAAUCUCCAGGAGGAUUAUAUAAUAGGCAGAUCUCCCAGCCAUUUUCACUGAACAGUUCUUAGAAUUGGUAUCCUUGAAAAAUUUCACCUAACCACUCAAUAUGGUAGCCACUAGUCCUGGGUGGCUAUC